rnacentral:tRNA from 1 species
AAAAUUUAGUUAAAUUUAUAACAUCAAUUUGUCAAAUUGAAAUAAUCUAUAAGAUAAUUUUUU